rnacentral:piRNA from 1 species
UGAGUGACCUGCUUGUUUCUUCUC